rnacentral:rRNA from 1 species
CAUACCCUUGUCUCAAAAAUUAACCCUUGCAUGUCUAAUUAUAAACAACUUUAUACGUGAAACUGCAAAGGGCUCAUUAUAUCAUUUAUAGUUUAUUUGAUGGUCAUUGCUACUUGAAUAACCGUAUUAAUUCUAAAGCUAAUACAUGCAUCAAACCCCGACUUCUGGAAGGGGUGUACUUUUUAAAAUGGAAACCAAGGCGGGGCACCCCGAAUCAUGGUGAUUCAUAAUAAUUUUCGGAUCGAUCGCAAAAUCAAUGCAUCAUUCAAGUUUCUGCCCUAUCACCUUUGGAUGGUAGGGUAUUGCCCUACCAUGGCAUUAACGGGUAACGAAAAUUUUUGUUUCGAUUCCGGAAAGGGACCCUGAAAAAUGGCUACCACAUCUAAGGAAGGCAGCAGGCGCGAAAAUUACCCAACCCUGACACAGGGAGGUAGUGACAAUAAAUAACAUUGCCGGCCCUUCGGGUCUGGCAAUUGAAAUGAAAACAAUU